rnacentral:rRNA from 1 species
GAUGAACGCUGGCGGCGUGCUUAACACAUGCGAGUCGAACGAAGCACCUCUCCCGAAGAUUGACACAGCUUGCUGUAGAUUGAUUCAUUUGAGGUGACUGAGUGGCGGACGGGUGAGUAACGCGUGGGUAACCUGCCUCAUAGAGGGGGACAACAGUUGGAAACGACUGCUAAUACCGCAUAGUAAGAAGAAUUCGCAUGUUUUCUUCUUGAAAGAUUUAUCGCUAUGAGAUGGACCCGCGUCUGAUUAGCUAGUUGGUAAGGUAACGGCUUACCAAGGCGACGAUCAGUAGCCGGCUUGAGAGAGUGAACGGCCACAUUGGGACUGAGACACGGCCCAAACUCCUACGGGAGGCAGCAGUGGGGAAUAUUGCACAAUGGGGGAAACCCUGAUGCAGCGACGCCGCGUGAGUGAAGAAGUAUUUCGGUAUGUAAAGCUCUAUCAGCAGGGAAGAUAAUGACGGUACCUGACUAAGAAGCCCCGGCUAACUACGUG